AAAGGCACACACUCGCCAGCAAAGCCUCUUGAGAUCAGCUGUAUUCCAACUGCAAAGCUUCAUCACAAAGUGAACAACAGACUUUUGUAGAGCUGUCUGUGGUUCUGACAACCUUCACCUGAGAAAAUUCCACUGCCUUCUGAGUUGUGUUAAGAUAAAGAGGUGGCAGACUGCUGACAUAAUGAGAGAAGGAAGCAGGACUAAGAAUGCCAUGGGUUAUCAUUACCAGUACCAGUGAAUUCCCCAAGCUCUGAUGAUCCUCCUUGAUGACUUCUCUUUCCAUAAAUCACUCGAUAGACUAGCACUGUUAGAAUCCCAUGGCAGGAUAUGUCUCCAUCAGGAAAUUACCUUUCUAC